AUUGAACGCUGGCGGCAUGCCUUACACAUGCAAGUCGAACGGUAACGGGCCUUCGGGUGCCGACGAGUGGCGAACGGGUGAGUAAUAUAUCGGAACGUACCUUUCAGUGGGGGAUAACGUAGCGAAAGUUACGCUAAUACCGCAUAUUCUGUGCGCAGGAAAGCAGGGGACCUUCGGGCCUUGCGCUGAUUGAGCGGCCGAUAUCAGAUUAGCUAGUUGGUGGGGUAAAAGCUCACCAAGGCGACGAUCUGUAGCUGGUCUGAGAGGACGACCAGCCACACUGGAACGGAGACACGGUCCAGACUCCUACGGGAGGCAGCAGUGGGGAAUUUUGGACAAUGGGCGAAAGCCUGAUCCAGCCAUUCCGCGUGCAGGAUGAAGGCCCUCGGGUUGUAAACUGCUUCUGUACAGAACGAAAAGGUUUCUACUAAUACUAGGAGCUCAUGACGGUACUGUAAGAAUAAGCACCGGCUAACUACGUGCCAGCAGCCGCCGUAACAC
rnacentral:rRNA from 1 species